rnacentral:snRNA from 1 species
CUAGCUAUGUAUAAAGCAUGAAAAUAAAGGCAAAAAAAGUAUCUGUUCUUAUCAGCUUAACAUCUGAUACGUCCCUCAUCGAGGGACCAGUUUGUUAAACUGAUUUUUGGAAAAUGACGGAGUGCUAGGAGCUUGCUCCACCUCUGUCACGGGUUGACCCGGCAUUGCAGUACCGCCGGGACCGGCCCACCACCA